rnacentral:rRNA from 1 species
AUUGAACGCUGGCGGCAGGCCUAACACAUGCAAGUCGAGCGGAAGAAGGGAGCUUGCUCCUGGAUUCAGCGGCGGACGGGUGAGUCAUGCCUAGGCAUCUGCCUGGUAGUGGGGGAUAACGUCCGGAAACGGGCGCUAAUACCGCAUACGUCCUGAGGGAGAAAGUGUGGGAUCUUCGGACCUCACGCUAUCAGAUGCGCCUAGGUCGGAUUAGCUAGUUGGUGGGGUAAAGGCCUCCCAAGGCGACGAUCCGUAACUGGUCUGAGAGGAUGAUCAGUCACACUGGAACUGAGACACGGUCCAGGCUCCUACGGGAGGCAGCAGUGGGGAAUAUUGGACAAUGGGCGAAAGCCUGAUCCAGCCAUGCCGCGUGUGUGAAGAAGGUCUUCGGAUUGUAAAGCACUUUAAGUUGGGAGAAAGGGCAGUAAGUUAAUACCUUGCGGUUUUGACGUUACCAACAGAAGAAGCACCGGCUAACUUCGUG